AGGGAAAGAAAAGGGAAUUAUUACUCCCUUGAUUAAGAAAUUUUGGUUUUAGAGGUAUAAUCUUUUCUCAAAAUAUGAUAAAGGAAUUAAAAUAGACGAGGAUGGAUGGUAUUCUGUUACUCCCGAAGAGAUAACCAUUAAGCAUAACGAGAAAUGCGACGGUGGUGGACUUGUCAUUGAUUUCUUUUUUGGUGUCAGUGGUAAUGCCAUCCAAUUUGCUAGACUGUGUUCUUUUGUUGUUGCUAUUUAUGUUGAUCCUCAAAAAGUUGAACUGGCGAUUAACAAUGCAAGGGUAUAUGGAGUGGAAGAUUAUAUUGAUUUCAUUGUUGGAGACUUUUUGCAACUUGUUCCAUCGUUGAAGGGAGAUAUGGUGUUUUUAUCACUACCAUGAGGUGGUCCCUCUUAUAAAACAAUUGAAAAUUUCACCACGAAUUUACUGAAGCCAAAAGAUAGAAUGUGAACAUACACUGAGUUGAAGAACUUUUGUGGUUGUCAUCUCUUCCUUUGAGCAUUGAGGUAAAAGCAAGAAGUCCAAGCAUUUUUGGGUGAAAAAUGGACCUUUACUAACAAAAGGGCCACGAAUAUUUGUUCCAAGAGUUGGAGAGUUGAGACAAAAGUUGAUGCGAGAAUGUCAUGACACUUUAUGGGUAGGACAUCCAGGUUGGCAACGCACUGUGGCAUUACUAAAACAUGGUUAUUAUUGAUCCCACAUGCAGCAAGAUGUAAUGGAUUAUACCAAGAUAUGCCUUAUUUGCUAACAAGACAAAGUGGAGAGAGAAAAAUCAACAAGAAUGCUUAAAUCGCUACCACUACUGACUAGACCAUGGGAAAGCAUUUCUCUUGACUUUAUAGUAUGGCUCUUUAAAGUAGGAGAUAUUAUAGCAAUUCUUGUGGCAAUGGAUCAUUUUUCAAAAUACACAACAUUUAUCCUAGUACAGAAGUUUGGCUUUGUAGAAGAAACAACUUGUAGGGUUUUCAAACAUGUGAUAAAAUACUAGGGCAUUCCUAAAAGCAUUAUCAGUGAUAGAAAUCCAAAGUUUACGGUUUCCUUUUGAAAAAGCUUUUCAAGCUAUUAAGGUAUGAACUCAGCACUCCUCUAGUUAUCAUCUAUAGACAGAUGGUCAAAUGAAAUGCUUUAAUAGACUAUUGGAGGAAUAUCUGGAACACUUUGUGCAGGCAAAGCAGAAGAAUAGGCCUAAUCUACUAAAUGCGGCUCAAUUAUGUUUUAAUUCGCAGAAUAGCUUCACCACGAAACCCCUUUCGAAGUUGUUAUUGGGCAAUAACCUAUAUUUCCCAACACCUCUGUGGAAUCCUAUAGCAAAAAGAGCCCCCGAGCCUUUAACUUUGCUAAGAAGUGGAGACAGAAUACUAAGAUUGCCCGAGCUUAUCUAGAGAAAGCCUCCAGCCACAUGAAGAAAUGGGUAGAUAAAGAUAAAAAAAUGCAACACUUUAAGGUGGGGGACCUUGUGCUAGUGAAAUUAGUACCCGAACAACUUUGAUUCUUAAAAAAAAAAAAGAUAGAUGACUAAUGUAGAAGUAUAAAGACCCAAUACCGAUUACAGGCAAAGUGGGGAAGACCUUUUACAAGAUUGAUCCACCCACGUGGAUGAAGGUGCAUUCAAUGUUUCACGUUAGCAACCUAAAGCUGUUCCAUGCAGAUUCAGCAGAUGCAAGUAAGAGUCAAGCCACGAGAGCCAUCAUCACCAUUAAACUACCAUCGCAAUGCCUAGUAGAUGAGAUUCUUGCAAAGAGAAUGACCAUAAUCAACCAACGACCAAUAUAGGAGUAUUUCUUGAAAUGAGAAGGUUUGGGGACAAAUGAAAUCACUUGGGAGAAGGAAGCUGACCUUCGAGCCUUCAAGUAGAAGAUUGACGAGUUUCAAGUCAACUAGCUAAUGAAGACGUCGACAUAUUGAGUAAGGGAGGAUGUCAUGAGCCAACUUUGUAUUGGGCUAUGACAGGUAAAACUAUUUAAAAGACUAAGUCCUUUGUACCUUUAGGGGAGAUAUCCCCCUUUUAAACAUUGUAAUGCAACUUGGUGGUGUCUUUAGAAAUGCUUGUUAAGUAUUUAGGGGGAAAAACCCUUUCAGGAAGGAAUGUUCCCAUCUCAUACCUUGUAAUGAUUUUUGGUAAUAUACUUGUAAAAUCUCGUAAACUCUUUAUACGGGGUAAGUAAUCGACAGAUUGUUAGGCUGCCUCACUAGUAAAGGUAUGUUUAUAACCAACCAUUUAGGCCUGCCCCUAUGGCUCGAAAAUGGCACGUUUUAAUCCCUUUGUACUUUUCUCGAUAUUAAUAAAACAUUUUCUUUA
rnacentral:sRNA from 1 species